rnacentral:rRNA from 1 species
UACGAAGGGGGCGAGCGUUGUUCGGAAUUACUGGGCGUAAAGGGCGCGUAGGCGGCGACUCAAGUUAGAUGUGAAAGUCCUGGGCUUAACCUGGGGACUGCAUUUGAUACUGGGUUGCUUGAAUUCGGGAGAGGAUAGCGGAAUUCCCGGUGUAGAGGUGAAAUUCGUAGAUAUCGGGAGGAACACCGGCGGCGAAGGCGGCGACCUGGGUCGAGACUGACGCUGAGGCGCGGAAAGCGUGGGGAGCAAACAGG